rnacentral:rRNA from 1 species
GACGAACGCUGGCGGCGUGCUUAACACAUGCAAGUCGAGCGGUGAAGCGCCUUCCUUUUUGGUGGGUGUGGAUGAGUGGCGAACGGGUGAGUAACACGUGAGUAACCUGCCCCCUUCUUCUGGAUAACCGCAUGAAAGUGUGGCUAAUACGGGAUAUUCUGGGUCUGUCGCAUGAUGGGUCUGGGAAAGAUAUUGUUUCGGUGGGGGAUGGGCUCGCGGCCUAUCAGCUUGUUGGUGGGGUGAUGGCCUACCAAGGCGGUGACGGGUAGCCGGCCUGAGAGGGUGGACGGUCACACUGGGACUGAGACACGGCCCAGACUCCUACGGGAGGCAGCAGUGGGGAAUAUGGCACAAUGGGCGCAAGCCUGAUGCAGCGACGCCGCGUGAGGGAUGGAGGCCUUCGGGUUGUGAACCUCUUUCGCCAGUGAAGCAGGCCUGCCUCGUUUGUGGGUGGGUUGACGGUAGCUGGAUAAGAAGCGCCGGCUAACUACGUG